AAGCAGCAUUAGACUUGCUCUUAAGGAAACAAAAUGCUGGGAAAAGCAGCCUCAAGGUCAAGGGUGAUCUUCACCCUGUUGUGGGUUAUUACUCUCGUCCUUCUCUUUCAGACACUUGUCGCACCUCGGCCUCAGAAUUUUUCUCCGACCUUAAAUUGUGAUUUGGGAGGUGUAGACCCAAGCUGCUCUCCUCGCGGUCCACAUCCGUAGGGGAUUUUGGUAAUUAGCAUCUCCAACGUCUUGGUCCUUACAACAAGUGGUUUUCUACUGGCUUCUCCACUAAUUUUAGUUAACAGUUGUUUGACAAUUAUUGUGAUUAUUUAUUAAUGGGUGUCACAAUUUAGAUUCUUGCUGCUAUGUGGUAGGAGAAUAUUUCCCAUGCAUAGUGCUGCUGUAUUUCAGUUUCUUCAAGAUAUUAAAAGGAGUUUCUUUAUGUA